rnacentral:lncRNA from 1 species
GGCAUUGGAAUUGGUUUUUCUUGCAAGAUUCGGAUUCAGUGGCUCUUAUGAUCAGCGUGUAGGUUGCUGGAGUGCACUCAUUAUGGAGCAAAUAGCUGGACUGGGAGCAGACUUUGAUCCCUGGAAUAGAGCUAUAAUAUUUUUUGAUGAAGCAUGGGGCAAAUUAUGGAAACAAAAAAAGUUGUUAUACAUAGUUAGAUCC